UACGGAGGGUGCAAGCGUUAUCCGGAUUCACUGGGUUUAAAGGGUGCGUAGGUGGGUUGGUAAGUCAGUGGUGAAAUCUCCGAGCUUAACUCGGAAACUGCCAUUGAUACUAUCAAUCUUGAAUCAUCUGGAGGUAAGCGGAAUAUGUCAUGUAGCGGUGAAAUGCUUAGAUAUGACAUAGAACACCAAUUGCGAAGGCAGCUUACUACGGGUGUAUUGACACUGAGGCACGAAAGCGUGGGGGAUCAAAACAGG
rnacentral:rRNA from 1 species